ACCUACGGGGGGCAGCAGUGAGGAAUAUUGGUCAAUGGGCGGAAGCCUGAACCAGCCAAGUCGCGUGAGGGAAUAAGGCCCUACGGGUCGUAAACCUCUUUUGCCGGGGAGCAAGGGCCGGGACGAGUCCCGGUCCGGAGAGUACCCGGAGAAAAAGCAUCGGCUAACUCCGUGCCAGCAGCCGCGGUAAUACGGAGGAUGCGAGCGUUAUCCGGAUUUACUGGGUGUAAAGGGAGCGCAGGCGGGAAGCCAAGUCAGCUGUGAAAACUACAGGCUUAACUUGUAGACUGCAGUUGAAACUGGUU
rnacentral:rRNA from 1 species